UAGAAGUAAAUAUAAUUUUAAAGUAUAAAAGUCUAACUUGAAUCUCUACUCUCACAGUUAAAUAAUGUCAGCCUCAAACUCUCUAGCCCGCAUCUUUGAAUUUAAUAAUUUGACCGAAACAAACAAUAAAGACUGGCUAAGAAACCUCAAAAUUAUCUUGACUUUUGAAGAACUAGGUCAUGUACUCGAUCAAAAACUCCUAGUGUUCCCAAACUAUCCUACUGCUGAGCAAAGAACUGCUUAUGAAAAGUAGAUGGAUGAAGAC
rnacentral:lncRNA from 1 species